CUGUAUUUAACAAAUCUGAACAAGGCAUCAAUAGUUUCCCGUUUGAAAGAAAUUGAAUCCAGUCACAGUCGUCUUUACUUGUAUCAGUCAAGUUUUCUGUAGGGGUACCAAGACCUGGAUAUUUUAGUUGGAAGCAAUGAGCUUCAGACCCUGCCACAUAUUUAUGUGCCGCUAAACUUGGCUAUAUCACCUUCCUCGUUUUCAUUUGAUGGUGCAUUAUAAAUACACUGCGUAAUUAUAAUCGAUGAGAACAGUGAUUCUGUUAAACACAUCUCUUCGUCAUCGUCAUCUGCUCGGGUGCAUCAAAGUUAUAAUACACGGGCUGCUUCCAAGAGGAAAAUAGACCCUGACACAUCAUGACCUGUGCCGUCUUAUGAGGCCCAAACACUUGUUCCAGUGAUCUAUCAAGACAGAUUUCAUCUUUAAUGAACAUCUCAUCGAUUGACAGUACAGUUAAACGUUCCAUUUCUGAUAAAGUUUUCGCCUUCUCUUUCAUUAAAUAUAAGACAGAGUGUAGAAGGCCAGUAUUAAUUAUGAAAGAUGAUGCCUAUUUUCUUAGAGUACUCAAUCCUGGUAGGGGCCAG